GCACUGCUAAAGAGUCCCACAAUAGGACGAAACGUACGUCCAGUGC
rnacentral:hammerhead_ribozyme from 1 species